rnacentral:rRNA from 1 species
GAGUCACUCCGCAAGGGGUGGCGCACGGCUCAGUAACACGUAGUCAACCUACCCUAGGGACGGGGAUAACCUCGGGAAACUGAGGCUAAACCCCGAUAGGCUAUAGCCUCUGGAAUGAGCUAUAGCUGAAAUCUAUAUGGCCCCAGGAUGGGACUGCGGCCGAUCAGGUAGUUGGUGGGGUAAUGGCCCACCAAGCCUAUAACCGGUGCGGGCUCUGAGAGGAGGAGCCCGGAGAUGGGCACUGAGACAAGGGCCCAGGUCCUAUGGGGCGCAGCAGGCGCGAAACCUCCGCAAUGGGCGAAAGCCCGACGGGGUUAGUCCGAGUGGUCCCUGCUGAAGGGGCCUUUUGCCAGCUGUAAAAAGGCUGGAGAAUAAGGGGUGGGCAAGUUUGGUGUCAGCCGCCGCGGUAAUACCAGCACCCCGAGUGGUCGGGACGAUUAUUGGGCCUAAAGCAUCCGUAGCCGGCUUAGCAAGUCUUCCGUUAAAUCCAACGGCUUAACCGUUGGGCUGCGGAGGAUACUGCUAAGCUAGGGGGCGGGAGAGGCGAGGGGUAUUCCCAGGGUAGGGGUAAAAUCCGUUGAUCCUGGGAGGACCACCAG